rnacentral:rRNA from 1 species
CCAGACUCCUACGGGAGGCAGCAGUCGGGAAUAUUGCGCAAUGGAGGAAACUCUGACGCAGUGACGCCGCGUAUAGGAAGAAGGUUUUCGGAUUGUAAACUAUUGUCGUUAGGGAAGAUAAAAGACUGUACCUAAGGAGGAAGCCCCGGCUAACUAUGUGCCAGCAGCCGCGGUAAUACAUAGGGGGCAAGCGUUAUCCGGAAUUAUUGGGUGUAAAGGGGGCGCAGACGGCGAUGCAAGCCAGGAGUGAAAGCCCGGGGCCCAACCCCGGGACUGCUCUUGGAACUGCGUGGCUGGAGUGCAGGAGGGGCAGGCGGAGUUCCUGGUGUAGCGGUGAAAUGCGUAGAUAUCAGGAGGAACACCGGUGGCGAAGGCGGCCUGCUGGACUGCAACUGACGUUGAGGCCCGGAAGCGUGGGGAGCAAACAGGAUUAGAUACCCUAGUAAA